ACGGGAGGCAGCAGUGGGGAAUAUUAGGCAAUGGGGGCAACCCUGACCUAGCAACGCCGCGUGAAGGAAGAAGGCCUUCGGGUUGUAAACUUCUUUUAUGAGGGACGAAGGAAGUGACGGUACCUCAUGAAUAAGCCACGGCUAACUACGUGCCAGCAGCCGCGGUAAUACGUAGGUGGCAAGCGUUGUCCGGAUUUACUGGGUGUAAAGGGCGCGUAGGCGGGAUGACAAGUCAGAUGUGAAAUCCAUGGGCUCAACCCAUGAACUGCAUUUGAAACUGCCAUUCUUGAGUAUCGGAGAGGCAAGCGGAAUUCCUAGUGUAGCGGUGAAAUGCGUAGAUAUUAGGAGGAACACCAGUGGCGAAGGCGGCCUGCUGGGCUUUUACUGACGCUGAGGUUCGAAAGUGUGGGGAGCAAACAGGAUUAGAUACCCUGGUA
rnacentral:rRNA from 1 species